UACAGAGGGUGCGAGCGUUAAUCGGAAUUACUGGGCGUAAAGGGCGCGUAGGCGGCCGUCUAAGUCAGACGUGAAAUCCCCCGGCUUAACCUGGGAACUGCGUCUGAUACUGGACGGCUCGAGUAUGGGAGAGGGAUGUAGAAUUCCAGGUGUAGCGGUGAAAUGCGUAGAUAUCUGGAGGAAUACCGGUGGCGAAGGCGGCAUCCUGGACCAUUACUGACGCUGAGGCGCGAAAGCUAGGGGAGCAAACGGG
rnacentral:rRNA from 1 species